rnacentral:tRNA from 1 species
GGGCCUGUAGUCGAAUGGUAAGACGUCACCUUCACAAGGUAAAGAUCCGGAGUUCGAUUCUCCGCAGGCCCA